AAAGGUCGUAACAAGGUUUUCCCGUAGGGUCAAACGUUUUAGGACCGUGCCACAGCGGGGUUCAAACCCGUUCGGCUAGGUCCUUCCGAUGGAGGCGACACGCUCAACCUGUGGGGAAGGUCCCGUCCCCGGGAAACUCCACAGCCCACUUCCCUCGCCCGGAAGUCGGUUUAGACGGCUCAAUGACGUGGGUGGCUGAUCUCAGCGCUUCAGUAAGUCCGUCCACUGGUAACCGCUGGGGGCAACGGAACCUCGGAAGGAUCUUUACAGAAUUGACGGCUUUGCGAAGCCAGAUUCUCACCCCGGUGUAUACACUAUCUCUGUUGCUUUGGCGGGCGCCUGGCGCCUGCCAAGAGGGAAACCCUUGAAUCUCUGCAGUCUGAGCCGAUAAAUAGUCAAAU
rnacentral:misc_RNA from 1 species